AUCCAGUGCAGUGCAGUAUUGUAGCCAAUAGGGUUAAUCCGAAGCGUGAUUAUUGCUCUUUGAAAACUUUCCCCACUAUCCCAAAAUCUGCUUUAUGGCAUAAAGAGCAGUAUUUAAGGCAACACAGAAAAGAUACUUUCCUACAGGAAUUAGCAUGAACUUGCCAUUACAGAUUGUG